UACGUAGACAGCAAGCGUUGUUCGGAGUUACUGGGCGUAAAGGGUGCGUAGGCGGUUGUUUAAGUUUGGUGUGAAAUCUCCCGGCUCAACUGGGAGGGUGCGCCGAAUACUGAAUGACUAGAGUGCGGGAGAGGAGAGUGGAAUUCCUGGUGUAGCGGUGAAAUGCGUAGAUAUCAGGAGGAACACCGGUGGUGUAGACGGCUCUCUGGACCGUAACUGACGCUGAGGCACGAAAGCGUGGGUAGCAAACAGG
rnacentral:rRNA from 1 species